rnacentral:rRNA from 1 species
AGAGUUUGAUCAUGGCUCAGAGCGAACGCUGGCGGCAGGCCUAACACAUGCAAGUCGAACGCACCUUCGGGUGAGUGGCGGACGGGUGAGUAACACGUGGGAACGUACCUUUAGGUUCGGAAUAACGCAGAGAAAUUUGCGCUAAUACCGAAUGUGCCCUUCGGGGGAAAGAUUUAUCGCCUUUAGAGCGGCCCGCGUUAGAUUAGCUAGUUGGUGGGGUAAUGGCCCACCAAGGCUACGAUCUAUAGCUGGUCUGAGAGGAUGAUCAGCCACACUGGGACUGAGACACGGCCCAGACUCCUACGGGAGGCAGCAGUGGGGAAUCUUGCGCAAUGGGCGAAAGCCUGACGCAGCCAUGCCGCGUGAAUGAUGAAGGUCUUAGGAUUGUAAAAUUCUUUCAGCAGGGACGAUAAUGACGGUACCUGCAGAAGAAGCCCCGGCUAACUUCGUGCCAGCAGCCGCGGUAAUACGAAGGGGGCUAGCGUUGCUCGGAAUUACUGGGCGUAAAGGGAGCGUAGGCGGGUUAUCAAGUUGGAGGUGAAAGCCCAGGGCUCAACCUUGGAAUUGCCUUCAAAACUGAUAGCCUAGAGUAUGAUAGAGGUAAGUGGAACUCCGAGUGUAGAGGUGAAAUUCGUAGAUAUUCGGAAGAACACCAGUGGCGAAGGCGACUUACUGGAUCAUGACUGACGCUGAGGCUCGAAAGCGUGGGGAGCAAACAGGAUUAGAUACCCUAGUAGUCC